UACGAAGGGGGCUAGCGUUGUUCGGAAUCACUGGGCGUAAAGCGCACGUAGGCGGAUCUUUAAGUCAGGGGUGAAAUCCCGAGGCUCAACCUCGGAACUGCCUUUGAUGCUGGGGAUCUCGAGUCCGGGAGAGGUGAGUGGAACUGCGAGUGUAGAGGUGAAAUUCGUAGAUAUUCGCAAGAACACCAGUGGCGAAGGCGGACUCACUGGCCCGGAACUGACGCUGAGGUGCGAAAGCGUGGGGAGCAAACAGGG
rnacentral:rRNA from 1 species